rnacentral:lncRNA from 1 species
UGAUGUCCUAAAGAAGUCGCUACUUCUUUCUCACGCAAGACAUCACACCCCCUCUUAAUUUUGUCACACCAAAAACCUUCUUAUCCCACACACAACCUCUUCCUCAUGCCCAAGAGAUCUAAUCUCUUUUAAUCAUAUCCAUUCAAAUUAAAAUCAAUGGAUAGAAGGGCAUGGAGAUAAUGUUGUGCGGUAAGAAAAGAAGACUCAUCACAAAUAGCGCACGCCACCCUUCUUUCUUAAAUUUUUUGUCGCACAAAAAAUUAUUCCUUACAUACCAAAU